GCCGCCACCACAGUCGACGCCGAGGAUUUCUUCUCUUCUCCUCUCCCUGCUUUAAUCGGCGCCGCAACAUCCGCCGCCGAGGCCUUAAUUCCUCUGCUGCCGAAGCCCUAGCCUUUGCACAGUGCCACUGCCGCGGCAUCUUCUGCCGUAGUUUCCGGCCGAUUUCCCCACUCACUGGAGUAGGCUACGGUUUCCAAUCAGUGACACUCUUCACCAGAGAGUAACCUGCCAAUGUGGUUAGGAGUAUUUGAGUGGAGAUUUUGACCCCCACCUUGCUGCAAUCACUGGAUCCGGCAGUAACUUCAGCCACAAACCUUGAUCCAGCAGUAUUAGGCGACCCUUUGAUUUACAGCAGCAAUUAAUCUUUGCUAGCAGUAGAGUUUUGUUUUCCGGCAGCAGCUUGGUCUAGCAGCGGUUGAUUUGAGGACUUUGACGCGAGACGAGUAUCUCGGAGUCAGAUCGGACCUUUCUAUUUUCGGAGG